rnacentral:rRNA from 1 species
UACAGAGGGUGCUAGCGUUAUUCGGAAUCAUUGGGCAUAAAGGGCGCGUAGGCGGUCCAUUAAGUCCUUUGUGAAAGCCCCCGGCUCAACCGGGGAAUAGCAGGGGAUACUGUUGGGCUAGAGUGCAGGAGGGGAGAGCGGAAUUCCUGGUGGAGCGGUGAAAUGCGUAGAUAUCAGGAGGAACGCCGGUGGCGAAGGCAGCCUUCUGGGCCAACACUGACGCUCAUGCACGAAAGCGUGGGGAGCAAACAGG